GAUGAACGCUGGCGGCGUGCCUAAUACAUGCAAGUCGAGCGAACAGACGAGGAGCUUGCUCCUCUGACGUUAGCGGCGGACGGGUGAGUAACACGUGGAUAACCUACCUAUAAGACUGGGAUAACUUCGGGAAACCGGAGCUAAUACCGGAUAAUAUAUUGAACCGCAUGGUUCAAUAGUGAAAGACGGUUUUGCUGUCACUUAUAGAUGGAUCCGCGCCGCAUUAGCUAGUUGGUAAGGUAACGGCUUACCAAGGCAACCAUGCGUAGCCGACCUGAGAGGGUGAUCGGCCACACUGGAACUGAGACACGGUCCAGACUCCUACGGGAGGCAGCAGUAGGGAAUCUUCCGCAAUGGGCGAAAGCCUGACGGAGCAGCGCCGCGUGAGUUAUGAAGGUCUUCGGAUCGUAAAACUCUGUUAUUAGGGAAAAACAGAUGUGUAAGUAACUAUGCACGUCUUGACGGUACCUAAUCAGAAAGCCACGGCUAACUACGUG
rnacentral:rRNA from 1 species